GACGGAGGAUGCAAGUGUUAUCCGGAAUCACUGGGCGUAAAGCGUCUGUAGGUGGUUUAAUAAGUCAACUGUUAAAUCUUGAGGCUCAACCUCAAAAUUCGCAGUCGAACUAUUAGGCUAGAGUAUAGUAGGGGUAAAGGGAAUUUCCAGUGGAGCGGUGAAAUGCGUAGAGAUUGGCAAAGAACACCGAUGGCGAAGGCUACUUUACUGGGCUAUUACUAACACUCAGAGACGAAAGCUAGGGUAGCAAAUGGG
rnacentral:rRNA from 1 species